rnacentral:lncRNA from 1 species
AUUCCCAGCAGGAUGUGUCCGGGGAGAGCCAUCUGAAGGCACCAGCCUGCAUUAUAGAGGUACAUCAGGAGAAGCACUGCAGGCUUUCUGACAAUCCAGGGUGAGCCUGCUGUUACCCACGCUCUAGAUAUCAAAGGAAAAGAUCGUUGCUAUUUUUAUGUGACAGAGGAGAAGCCUGGCACCAAGGGCUGGUCUAAGAAAAGCUUAGGAGAUGCCUGAAGUCACCCAUCUGUGAAGGCUUUGGAGUCAGAGCUGCAAUCCACGUUAAUCAAUGGCAAAGUCAAUGCUUUGGGUAUUUUUGGUUUUGUUUUUGGUUUUUUGUUUUUGUUUUUCAACAUCAGUUCUGAUAUAACAAUGAACAGAAAGGGCAACGUCCUUGCCAUAAGGGUUAACCUCUGUUGUGGGCCGAAUUGUCCUCCUGAAAUUCAAACAUCCAAGUUGUAACCUUUGAUGUGACUGUAUUUGGGGAAAAGAGCUUUUAAGGGAGCAAUAAAAGCUAACUGCUACUG